rnacentral:rRNA from 1 species
GGCGGACGGGUGAGUAAUGCCUAGGAAUCUGCCUGGUAGUGGGGGACAACGUUUCGAAAGGAACGCUAAUACCGCAUACGUCCUACGGGAGAAAGCAGGGACCUUCGGGCCUUGCGCUAUCAGAUGAGCCUAGGUCGGAUUAGCUAGUUGGUGAGGUAAUGGCUCACCAAGGCGACGAUCCGUAACUGGUCUGAGAGGAUGAUCAGUCACACUGGAACUGAGACACGGUCCAGACUCCUACGGGAGGCAGCAGGU